AUGUCUAUCGUGGCGGGCAGCUCUCGCCCGCGGGAGGAAGGCCUCGCUUCGAUUCGUGCCCGAUCUUGCUAUGAUUUCCCCAGCCGGACGCCGGCCGAGAAGCUCACCGACGACCUCCUCGUGGAGAUCCUCUCGCGCGUCCCCGCCAAGGAGGUGUGCCGCUGCAAGUGCGUCUGUAAGCACUGGCUCGGCCUCAUCCACCACCGGGACCACCGCAAAAGGCUCCCCCAAACCCUGGCCGGCUUCUUCUUCGGCAGCAGCACCACCGGGCAGCGGCUUCUUGAACCGCCCUUCCACUUCACCAGCCUCUCAGGGGACCGCCGCCCUCCGUUUGAUACCUCCUUCACCUUCCUGCCCAACCACCGCCCGCCGCGCGUCCAUCUACUUGACUCCUGCAAUGGCCUCCUCCUCUGCCGCCGCUACGACGUUUCCGAUGGGGUUGUCGCGUUCCACUAUGUCGUGUGCAAUCCCGCCACGGAGAAGUGGGUCGUGUUGCCCAACUCUGUCAAGGCCACUGGCGAGGCAGCCACCACAUGUUUGGGCUUUGACCCCGCCUUGUCCCCAAAUUUCCAUGUGUUUGAGUUGGUACAUGAGCACAAGUACGGCAGGAAAGCCGAUCUUUCCGGAGUGGUAGUGUAUUCGUCCGAAACCGGUGAAUGGGUUUUCAAGGAGAAGAGAUGGAACGGAGCUACGUGGCCUACUAGUCGGCACUCCUCGGGAAGUGUCUUUCUUAAUAGCCUUCUGUUUUUUCGUGCCUUUGACCUCGAGUUACACGAGUGUGUAGCUGCGGUGGACACGAAGGGAGAAACGUGGAUGAAAUUCAGGAUCCCUGGUAGUCAGGUUGAUGAUUUUGGUCUGGCUGAUAGUUUUAUUCAGCGGUCGCAGGGCCGCUUGCACUAUGUAGGUUUUCAGAGGGAUAAAGAGGGUGUUGCCAUCCGAUUUGUAGUUUAUGUUCUGGAGAACUAUCAAGGCGAACCUUGGAUAUUGAAGCAUAGCAUUGAAACUUCAAACAUAUUUGGAUGGAGAGAUUUAUACCUUGAUGGGCGUUUUGAUUUUAUUGCAAUUCAUCCGGAAUGUGACUUGGUUUUCAUCAUUGCGGGGGGUAUGACAUUCAUGUGCUAUAAUAUGGAUAAUCGGCAAGUCAACGUGAUAUCCUAUCUUGCAGGUGCCAAGCAGCUAUUUCUGCCUUAUGUGCCAUUGUUCACAGAGUCACAAUCACUGCACAUUUGA
rnacentral:rRNA from 1 species